rnacentral:rRNA from 1 species
GACGAACGCUGGCGGCGUGCUUAACACAUGCAAGUCGAACGGAAAGGCCCUGCUUUUGUGGGGUGCUCGAGUGGCGAACGGGUGAGUAACACGUGAGUAACCUGCCCUUGACUUUGGGAUAACUUCAGGAAACUGGGGCUAAUACCGGAUAUGAGCUCCUGCUGCAUGUUGGGGGUUGGAAAGUUUCGGCGGUUGGGGAUGGACUCGCGGCUUAUCAGCUUGUUGGUGGGGUAGUGGCUUACCAAGGCUUUGACGGGUAGCCGGCCUGAGAGGGUGACCGGCCACAUUGGGACUGAGAUACGGCCCAGACUGCUACGGGAGGCAGCAGUGGGGAAUAUUGCACAAUGGGCGGAAGCCUGAUGCAGCAACGCCGCGUGCGGGAUGACGGCCUUCGGGUUGUAAACCGCUUUCGCCGGUGACGAAGCGUGAGUGACGGUAAUGGGUAAAGAAGCACCGGCUAACUACGUG